rnacentral:siRNA from 1 species
UUGAUUGGCGUUUACUCCAUAA